AACGCACAUUGCGCCCCCUGGUAUUCCGGGGGGCAUGCCUGUCCGAGCGUCAUUGCAACCCUCAAGCGCGGCUUGUGUGUUGGGCCUCGUCCCGCGCGGACGGACCCGAAAGGCAGUGGCGGCGUCCCGACAUGGUGCCCGAGCGUAUGGGAACUCUCUUCCGCUCGAACCGGUCCAUGCGGCGCUGGCCUCGACCGAAUCUUUUACCGGUUGACCUCGGAUCAGGUAGGGAUACCCGCUGAACUUAA
rnacentral:misc_RNA from 1 species